UGAAUGGGGCAACCCACUAUAUUGAAGGUAUAGUAUCCCGCAAGGGAAGUGAACCCGGUGAACUGAAACAUCUAAGUAGCCGGAGGAAGAGAAAACAAAAGUGAUUCCGGGAGUAGUGGCGAGCGAAACCGGAUUAGCCCAAACCAGUGUUGUUUCGGCAAUACUGGGGUUGUAGGACCACGACAUUGAUUGCGUAAUGAAUUAGAACACUUUGGAAAGAGUGACCGAAGAGGGUGAUAGUCCCGUACAAGUAAAGAGCGUUAAUUAUAGUGGUAUCCUGAGUAGUGCGGGGCACGUGAAACCCUGUAUGAAUCAAGCGGGACCAGGAAGUUAAGGCUAAAUCUCC
rnacentral:rRNA from 1 species